UGUAAAGUUGUUCUAGUUUUGUAACUAAAAUGGUUUGGCAGUGAGCGAUUCUUAUUAGGGGAAUAUGCAUAGUGAAGGAUGGUCCACCUAUUAGUUUACUCUUUUUAUGUUGGUGUAUGUCUGGUUUGAUAUUAUUGUUGAAUAAUUUAAGUUUGUGUAGUUUUAGUUAAGCUAAGUCUAUGUGCUGCUUAUUGGAGUUUUUGUGUGUUACAUUAAUAAGGGUGUUAUUGUAAGAUGAUGUGAUUUAGG
rnacentral:rRNA from 1 species